rnacentral:tRNA from 1 species
GAAUAUUUUAAGUAAAAUUUCACCUUUGGGUGUUGAUG